rnacentral:rRNA from 1 species
UACAGAGGUCUCAAGCGUUGUUCGGAUUCAUUGGGCGUAAAGGGUGCGUAGGUGGCGCGCUAAGUCAGGUGUGAAAUCUCGGGGCUUAACUCCGAAACUGCAUUCGAUACUGCCGUGCUUGAGGACUGGAGAGGAGACUGGAAUUUACGGUGUAGCGGUGAAAUGCGUAGAUAUCGUAAGGAAGACCAGUGGCGAAGGCGGGUCUCUGGACAGUUCCUGACGCUGAGGCACGAAGGCCAGGGGAGCAAACGGG